rnacentral:rRNA from 1 species
UACGUAGGUGGCAAGCGUUGUUCGGAAUUAUUGGGCGUAAAGAGCUCGUAGGCGGUUUGUCGCGUCUGUCGUGAAAGCUUGGGGCUUAACCCCAAGUCUGCGGUGGAUACGGGCAGACUAGAGGCAGGUAGGGGAGAACGGAAUUCCCGGUGUAGCGGUGAAAUGCGCAGAUAUCGGGAGGAACACCGGUGGCGAAGGCGGUUCUCUGGGCCUGUACUGACGCUGAGGAGCGAAAGCGUGGGGAGCGAACAGG